rnacentral:tRNA from 1 species
AGCCCCAAGGUGUUUAACAUAUAAGAUUGCAAAUCUUAAGUGGCAGCCUAAUGAUCUGCUGGGGCUU